rnacentral:rRNA from 1 species
UACGAAGGGUGCAAGCGUUACUCGGAAUUACUGGGCGUAAAGCGUGCGUAGGUGGUUGGGCAAGUUGAGUGUGAAAGCUCCCGGCUAAACUGGGAGAGGACAUUUAAGACUGCCCGGCUAGAGGUCGGUAGAGGGGCGCAGAAUUCGGGGUGUAGCGGUGAAAUGUGUAGAGAUCCCGAGGAAUACCAGUGGUGAAGACGGCGCCCUGGGCCGAACCUGACGCUGAGAUGCGAAAGCGUGGGGAGCGAACGGG